GGUUAAGUUAAUAAGGGCGCACGGUGGAUGCCUUGGCACUAGGAGCCGACGAAGGACGUGACAAACGACGAUAUGCCUUGGGUAGCUGUAAGUAAGCGAUGAUCCAGGGAUUUCCGAAUGGGGGAACCCAACAGGUAAUACCUGUUACCCACAUCUGUUAAGGAUGUGAGGAGGAAGACGCAGUGAACUGAAACAUCUAAGUAGCUGCAGGAAGAGAAAGCAAAAGCGAUUGCCUUAGUAGCGGCGAGCGAAACGGCAGGAGGGCAAACCGAAGAGUUUACUCUUCGGGGUUGUAGGACUGCAAUGUGGACUCAAAGAUUAUAGAAGAAUGAUUUGGGAAGAUCAGCCAAAGAGAGUAAUAGCCUCGUAUUUAAAAUAGUCUUUGUACUUAGCAGUAUCCUGAGUACGGCGGGACACGUGAAAUCCCGUCGGAAUCCGGGAGGACCAUCUCCCAACCCUAAAUACUCCCUAGUGACCGAUAGUGAACCAGUACCGUGAGGGAAAGGUGAAAAGCACCCCGGGAGGGGAGUGAAAUAGAACCUGAAACCGUGUGCCUACAACAAGUUCGAGCCCGUUAAUGGGUGAGAGCGUGCCUUUUGUAGAAUGAACCGGCGAGUUACGUUAUGAUGCGAGGUUAAGUUGAAGAGACGGAGCCGUAGGGAAACCGAGUCUGAAUAGGGCGCCUUAGUAUCAUGACGUAGACCCGAAACCAUGUGACCUACCCAUGAGCAGGUUGAAGGUGCGGUAAGACGCACUGGAGGACCGAACCAGGGCACGUUGAAAAGUGCUUGGAUGACUUGUGGGUAGCGGAGAAAUUCCAAACGAACUUGGAGAUAGCUGGUUCUCUCCGAAAUAGCUUUAGGGCUAGCGUCGACAUUAGAGAUUCUUGGAGGUAGAGCACUGUUUGGGUGAGGGGUCCAUCCCGGAUUACCAAUCUCAGAUAAACUCCGAAUGCCAAUGAAUUAUGGUCGGCAGUCAGACUGCGAGUGCUAAGAUCCGUAGUCGAAAGGGAAACAGCCCAGACCACCAGCUAAGGUCCCAAAAUAAUUGUUAAGUGGAAAAGGAUGUGGGGUUGCACAGACAACUAGGAUGUUAGCUUAGAAGCAGCUAUUCAUUCAAAGAGUGCGUAAUAGCUCACUAGUCGAGUGACCCUGCGCCGAAAAUGUACCGGGGCUAAAACAAUUUACCGAAGCUGUGGAUACCUUUAUAGGUAUGGUAGGAGAGCGUUCUAUGUGUGAUGAAGGUGUACCGUGAGGAGUGCUGGAACGCAUAGAAGUGAGAAUGCCGGUAUGAGUAGCGAAAGACAGGUGAGAAUCCUGUCCACCGUAAGACUAAGGUUUCCAGGGGAAGGCUCGUCCGCCCUGGGUUAGUCGGGACCUAAGGAGAGACCGAAAGGUGUAUCCGAUGGACAACAGGUUGAUAUUCCUGUACUAGAGUAUGUAGUGAUGGAGGGACGCAGUAGGCUAACUAAAGCAGACGAUUGGAAGAGUCUGUCUAAGCAGUGAGGUGUGAAUUGAGUCAAAUGCUUAAUUCUAUAACAUUGAGCUGUGAUGGGGAGCGAAGUUUAGUAGCGAAGUUAGUGACGUCACACUGCCAAGAAAAGCUUCUAGCGUUUAAACAUACUCUACCCGUACCGCAAACCGACACAGGUAGUCGAGGCGAGUAGCCUCAGGUGAGCGAGAGAACUCUCGUUAAGGAACUCGGCAAAAUGACCCCGUAACUUCGGGAGAAGGGGUGCUGACUUUAAGUCAGCCGCAGUGAAUAGGCCCAAGCAACUGUUUAUCAAAAACACAGCUCUCUGCUAAAUCGUAAGAUGAUGUAUAGGGGGUGACGCCUGCCCGGUGCUGGAAGGUUAAGAGGAGUGCUUAGCGUAAGCGAAGGUAUGAAUUGAAGCCCCAGUAAACGGCGGCCGUAACUAUAACGGUCCUAAGGUAGCGAAAUUCCUUGUCGGGUAAGUUCCG
rnacentral:rRNA from 1 species